UACGUAGGGUGCAAGCGUUGUCCGGAAUUAUUGGGCGUAAAGAGCGUGUAGGCGGCUCGAUAAGUCUGCUGUGAAAGUCCAGGGCUCAACCCUGGAAGGCCGGUGGAAACUGUCGGGCUAGAGUCCGGAAGAGGCGAGUGGAAUUCCCGGUGUAGCGGUGAAAUGCGCAGAUAUCGGGAGGAACACCAAUGGCGAAGGCAGCUCGCUGGGACGGUACUGACGCUGAGACGCGAAAGCGUGGGGAGCGAACAGG
rnacentral:rRNA from 1 species